rfam:Culex pipiens quinquefasciatus supercont3.233 genomic scaffold, whole genome shotgun sequence.
CAAACGGUCCUUUUCAGGACCAACAAAUUUAUCACGAAAGAGUUGU